GCUUCUUUCCUCCCGAGUGCUUGCACUCAAUUGGAAAGAGGAGUGGCGGACGGGUGAGUAACACGUGGGUAACCUACCCAUCAGAGGGGGAUAACACUUGGAAACAGGUGCUAAUACCGCAUAACAGUUUAUGCCGCAUGGCAUAAGAGUGAAAGGCGCUUUCGGGUGUCGCUGAUGGAUGGACCCGCGGUGCAUUAGCUAGUUGGUGAGGUAACGGCUCACCAAGGCCACGAUGCAUAGCCGACCUGAGAGGGUGAUCGGCCACACUGGGACUGAGACACGGCCCAGACUCCUACGGGAGGCAGCAGUAGGGAAUCUUCGGCAAUGGACGAAAGUCUGACCGAGCAACGCCGCGUGAGUGAAGAAGGUUUUCGGAUCGUAAAACUCUGUUGUUAGAGAAGAACAAGGACGUUAGUAACUGAACGUCCCCUGACGGUAUCUAACCAGAAAGCCACGGCUAACUACGUGCCAGCAGCCGCGGUAAUACGUAGGUGGCAAGCGUUGUCCGGAUUUAUUGGGCGUAAAGCGAGCGCAGGCGGUUUCUUAAG
rnacentral:rRNA from 1 species